ACAGGCAGUUAAAAGGAGGGCAGAGGGCAAAGAGAAAAAAAGUUAGUUUUGUUUUGGUGUGUUGCGGUUAUUUGUCGUCUCUGCCUGCUGUUAUUGGAACUCUAAUCAUUUUGUCUUGGACUGUAUUCGUUUGUUGGGGUCUGGAUUGUCUGUCUACCUGUACACUGAGAACUGUGUUGGAUUAUUUGGUUUUCCGGAAGAGUGGAGCGCUCCUGAAUCAACCAUCAACAUCAUCAGUAACUACCGCUCAGAGAAACCACCCAUGGAGGGCAAAUCAGCCACGCCCCAAUGCAAGCAAGGGUCGUGGUGGCAGCAGGCCAAUGCAGGUCAACCUAAGACUUCCAUGUCCCCAGUCUACAGAUUCCAGCACUUUCUGGUGAAUUCCCAGGCAGCCAACCGAGACAUAUAAUUCCUGAGGUGGGUCCUAGUUGUACUGCUGGGUCUCUGAGGUGGGAGCUGAUGGAGGACAUUCUUCUUCAACUGGCUCUCCUCAAUCUGAAGGAGCAGCGACUCUACUCUGAGGUGUUCCCAAAUGGUUGAUCUUCUCACUCCAUCACAGAGUAUCAGAGCAGCCACCUUUGUGAAGAAACCUCACAUCUUUCACUUGUACUUGUGAUCUCAUUCUUUUGGUCA